GUACGAAGGGGGCUAGCGUUGUUCGGGAAUCACUGGGCGUAAAGCGUCACGUAGGGCGGAUUGUUCAAGUCGGGGGUGAAAUCCUGAGGCUCAACCUCAAGAACUGCCUUCGAUACUGGCGAAUCUCGAGUCCGGAAGGAGGUUGGAUGGAACAGCUAGUGUAGAGGUGAAAUUCGUAGAUAUUAGCUAGAACACCAGUGGCGAAGGCGGCUCGCUGGGCCGUUCCUGAACGCUGAGACGCGAAAGCUAGGGGAGCCGAAACAGG
rnacentral:rRNA from 1 species